rnacentral:lncRNA from 1 species
AGAUGCAUGGUGAAGAAGUACCGUUCAUUCGAGCUUCAGGACCCGCCAAGUGACCGAGGUCCAAACAGGAAGAGAGGAUAAGAAGAAACUGAGGCUUC